UCAGUUAUAGUUUAUUUGAUGGUACCUCCCUACCGAGAACCCCAUUAUUUUUAUGGAUCAUACGUGCGCAAAACCCCCCCCCUGGAAAGGACCUAUAUAUUUAAAAAAAAGCGCACCGGGCUCUUCCCGACCCCCGGUGAACCACGAUAUCUUCCCUAAACGCACAGGCUCGUGCUCGCGAUCUUUCUUUCUAAUUUUUGCCCCAUAAACUUUCGAUGGUGAGAUAGAGGCCUCCCACGGGGGUGUCGCGUGACAGAGGAUUAUGGUUCUAUUCCGGAGAGGGAGACCGAGAAACGGCUACCACAUCUGAUGAAGGCGCCAAGCGCGCAAAUUACCCCAUCCCUGAUACGGGGAGGUAGUGACAAUAAAUAACAAUACCGGCCAUUUCAGUGUCUGGGAAUUGGAAUGAGUACAAUCUAAAUCCCUUAACGAGGAUCCAUUGGAGGCCAAGUCUGGGGCCCACCAGCCGCGCUAAUUCCAGCUCCAAUAGAGUAUAUAUAAAUUGUUCCAGCUUAAAAAGCUCGCAGUUGGAUUUCGGGUGGGUUCUAGAGCGUGCCCCCCUUGGGGAGUACUGCGCUAGGCCUCAUUCCUUACGUCUCGGGGACAUGACUCCUGGGCUUUCACUGUCCGCGAUACUCAGAUCGGCACAUGGUAUACCCUGAGUCAACAUUCGAGGGUGCGAAACCAGGCCUACGCUCUGAAUACCUUGUAGACUGGAAAAACCCGAUAGGAAUCUGGGCCUAUUUUGUUGGUCUGUAGGACCGGAGUAAUGAUUAAGAGGGACCGUCGGGGGCCUUUGUAUUUCAUUGUCAGAGGUGAAAUUCUUGGAUUUAUGAAAGACGAACUACUGCGAAA
rnacentral:rRNA from 1 species